GAUGAACGCUAGCGGCAGGCUUAACACAUGCAAGUCGAGGGGUAACAUAGAAAAGCUUGCUUUUCUGAUGACGACCGGCGCACGGGUGCGUAACGCGUAUACAACCUACCUUUUAGCGGGGAAUAGCCCAGGGAAACUUGGAUUAAUGCCCCAUAGUAUAUAGACUUCUCCUGAAGUUUAUAUUAAACAUUUAUGGCUAUUAGAUGGGUAUGCGUCCUAUUAGUUAGUUGGUAAGGUAACGGCAUACCAAGGCAGCGAUAGGUAGGGGUCCUGAGAGGGAGAUCCCCACACUGGUACUGAGACACGGACCAGACUCCUACGGGAGGCAGCAGUGAGGAAUAUUGGACAAUGGGCGAGAGCCUGAUCCAGCCAUGCCGCGUGCAGGAAGACUGCCCUAUGGGUUGUAAACUGCUUUUACAGAGGAAGAACCACCCCACGUGUGGGGGUUUGACGGUACUCUGCGAAUAAGGAUCGGCUAACUCCGUG
rnacentral:rRNA from 1 species